rnacentral:tRNA from 1 species
UUAUUAUUAAGUAGUUAUUACUUUUAUAUUAUUAAGUAAUAUAAAUAUAAGUUUUCUUUUUUAUAAC